GACGAACGCUGGCGGCGUGCUUAACACAUGCAAGUCGAACGCUCCUGGAGGUUGGAAGUUAGAGGUUAGAAGUUAGAUUAAGAAGGAAUUCGCCGAAGGCGAAUUCUCACACAAUCUAACAUCUAAUUUCCAACUUCCAACCUCUAAGGGGAGUGGCGGACGGGUGAGUAACGCGUGGGCAAUCUGCCCGUAAGAGGGGGAUAACAUCGGGAAACCGGUGCUAAUACCGCAUAAUAUCUGUUUACCGCAUGGUAGACAGAUUAAAGGAGCAAUCCGCUUACGGAUGAGCCCGCGUCUGAUUAGCCAGUUGGUAGGGUAACGGCCUACCAAGGCGACGAUCAGUAGCCGGCCUGAGAGGGUGACCGGCCACACUGGAACUGAGACACGGUCCAGACUCCUACGGGAGGCAGCAGUGGGGAAUCUUCCGCAAUGGGCGAAAGCCUGACGGAGCAACGCCGCGUGAGCGAAGAAGGCCUUCGGGUUGUAAAGCUCUGUCAUCAGGGAAGAAGAGAGUGACGGUACCUGAGGAGGAAGCCACGGCUAACUACGUGCCAGCAGCCGCGGUAAUACGUAGGUGGCAAGCGUUGUCCGGAAUUACUGGGCGUAAAGAGCGCGUAGGCGGGCGCUUAAGUCAGGUGUGAAAACUGGCAGCUCAACUGCCAGCCUGCCUUUGAGACUGGGCGUCUUGAGGACAGGAGAGGAGAGCGGAAUUCCUAGUGUAGCGGUGAAAUGCGUAGAUAUUAGGAGGAACACCAGUGGCGAAGGCGGCUCUCUGGCCUGUAACUGACGCUGAGGCGCGAAAGCGUGGGGAGCGAACGGGAUUAGAUACCCCGGUAGUCCACGCCGUAAACGAUGGGUACUAGGUGUAGGAGGUAUCGACCCCUUCUGUGCCGUAGUUAACACAAUAAGUACCCCGCCUGGGGAGUACGGCCGCAAGGUUGAAACUCAAAGGAAUUGACGGGGGCCCGCACAAGCGGUGGAGCAUGUGGUUUAAUUCGACGCAACGCGAAGAACCUUACCGACGCUUGACAUGUGAGGAACCCUAGGGAGACCUGGGGGUGCCCGUAAGGGAGCCUCAACACAGGUGCUGCAUGGCUGUCGUCAGCUCGUGUCGUGAGAUGUUGGGUUAAGUCCCGCAACGAGCGCAACCCUUGCCUUUAGUUGCCAGCGGGUUAUGCCGGGCACUCUAGAGGGACUGCCGGUGACAAACCGGAGGAAGGCGGGGAUGACGUCAAGUCCUCAUGGCCCUUAUGCGUCGGGCUACACACAUGCUACAUUGGCCGGUACAGAGGGAAGCCAAGGAGCGAUCUGGAGCCAAUCCCAGAAAGCCGGUCGUAGUUCGGAUUGUAGUCUGCAACUCGACUGCAUGAAGUCGGAAUCGCUAGUAAUCGUGGAUCAGCUACGCCACGGUGAAUACGUUCCCGGGCCUUGUACACACCGCCCGUCACAACCAUGGGAGUGGAGGAUACCCUAAGCAGGUUGCCUAACCGCAAGGAGGGCGCUUAUCACGGUAUGCUUCAUGACUGGGGUG
rnacentral:rRNA from 1 species